UAACCCUGGCGUUUUUGGUGUUGCUGUCCCAGCCAGAAUCGCGUCUGGCCGGUGGGAAGCCGGGAACUCCAGCCUCCCGCAGGACAGGAGAAAGGAGCGAGGUUAGUAGUGAGGUGCUUCCGCUGACUGCUGAGCUAAGUCUUUCCUGAAGACGUGGGAGCCGUUGUGUUUGAUUUUUCUGUCCUCUUCGGGCCAGGGAAAGGAUGAGAAUCUAGGGCCUGGAGGGCCUGGGGUGAAUGGGUCCAGCAUGUGGCUAGGAGUACUUGAGGAAGAGUGGACUGCCCUUUCUUUUUGCCGCUAGACUUUCCUCAUUUUCCACAGUGCCUGGAGCUUGGCCUUCAGCCAUUUACCUCCUCCCUGUUUUGGGCAGGGAUUCUGGCAUGGUAGACACCAAAAUUUCUGUAUAGCAGUGGCAUAGGGCAACAGUGUCGUUGGAGGGACGUGGGUAUGGGAAUAAGCAUGGGUCUUGGGAUGUGUUUAAAGCUUCACUACAUACAUAGAUAAACGUUUUUACGUAUGUUUCGUGUAGCAUUUGGCCCCACCCAUAAUUACUAUUGGACCCCGCCCCCCAACACACACACACACACACACACACACACACACACACACGCACGCCCCCAGCCAUUUCCUUGGCCCAGACCUAAGAUCUAGCCAGUUGUCAACAAUGUCAGCUUGAUCUGCACUUCAGAGUCAGACACGGGUAGUCUGAUUAUCCAGUUGAUUCAGUAACGGCCUAGACUUAGAUACUCGUGAAACUUUUGUAAACCAACUCAAUCUCUUGUCCAGAGGGCCGGAUUUACUGCUUCUGUCCAUUCUGAAUUUGGCCAGGAAUCAGCUUAAAGGACAGGGGAGAAAGAGUGAGGUAGGGUGGACCACUGACUUCCUGGUGGGAAUGAAGAAAUGAGAGAAUCUUAAAACUUCUAACUUUUAAUUGCUCACAUAUGCGGGCCCUUUUUAUGCCUCCUACAAUGCCUUCUCUAGAGUAAAUAUUUUCUAAAAAUUAUACUGGAUUCUUCAAAAAUGGAUUCAGGAAGAAUUCUAACGUUAGUUUUUUUUUUUUUUUUUUUUUUUUUUUUUUUUUUUUUUGGUCUCACUUAUCUUCCUGAAGGUAGGAGAGGAAAACAAGUGCAAAGUGCAUUCUUGAAGCACUCUGUCAAAUCACUUUUCAUGCUUUAGUAAGUAGAAACAUGGUACAUUUUCCAAAACCAUCAGCCUGUCUUGUUCAUAUUAUAUUCCAGACAGACACGCAAGUAUUGUAAUCAUUGAUAAAAAUCUCAUUAGGUUUCUGGAAAAUAGGUAAGGUUAUCCUCAUAUUGCAGGUGAUUUUUCCAUAUGAAAUUACCCAUGAAAAUUAAAAUGGCGUAAAUUCAAGAUAAUUUUUGAGUUAAGUAAAAUGUCACUUUAAUAUAUGAUUUUUCACAUCAUUUAUCUCACUUGGAAAGUUGCUCUUGAUCAGUUUCAAGCUCAUAUACUUUUUUUUUUUUUUUGAGACAGAGUCUCCCUCUGUCGCCCAGGCUGGAGUUCUGUGGCGAGAUCCCGGCUCACUGCAAGCUCCACCUCCCGGGUUCUUGCCAUUCUCCUGCCUCAUCCUCCCGAAAAGCUGGGACUACAGGCACUCGCCACGACGCCCGGCUAAUUUUUUGUAUUUUUAGUAGAGACGGAGUUUCACCGUGUUAGCCAGGAUGGUCUCGAUCUCCUGACCUCAUGAUCCUCUCGCCUCGGCCUCCCAAAGUGCUGGGAUUAUAGGCGUGAACCAUUGCUCCUGGCCAUAUAUUUCAUUUUUAAUACUACUAUUAAAGGGAUUUCUUAGACCCAGAAAUGAAUAGUGACCAAGUAUAUACUCAACCCAAUCCUAAUUUCUAGGAUCUCUUGGAUCAUGUUUGAUCUAAUGACAAUUAAAAGGCUGGGUAGUAUAUUAACCUAUUUUUAUAUCACGCUAUGAUUUAGGCUUUUAUAUUUGGAAUAUUUACUACUAGUUAAAAUGUUUUUUUUUAAUUGUAGGCUCAGAUUCCAAUUCCCAGAUCUUGAGUAGGAUGUAAUUAGUUUCGAAAAAUAGCUAUUAACUAAUCUAACUGCACUUUAGAACAUUAUCGUUAUCCAGGAAAACAUUAAACACAUAGGCAAUCUUAAAUCUCCCAAAUGUAUUUAAUGCUUUCUAUAUGUCAUGCACUAUGCCAACUACUGGGUGAGUUCAAAAGAAAUAAAAGUAGAAUAUAAAAGAUGAAUAACUAAGGAAUCUACAGAUUAGUGGGGGAGCUAGACACAAACAUAAUACAAUGUUUUUAAUACAGGGUGUUUUUAAUAUGCUUUAGUAGAUGGGUAUAGAAAGUACCUUGGGAGCACAGAAAGGAGGGACAACUCUACCCCAGGGCAUUAGAGAAGGCUGAUAGGAAAUGAGGCAUUUGCCUUGGGUCAUGAAAGAUCUAUAGCAUUCAUGGAGAUGAAGAAAAUAUAGAAUAUUCAACUCAGUAUCGCUUAGUGAAAAUAAAUGAUAUGUUCUAGUGUGACAAGAUCAUGAGGUUUAUAAGGAAAGGUGGGAGAGGAGUCAUAAAUUAGGUUGAGGUUAGAUUAUAAGGCACAUAUAUCAAGCCAAGGAGUAAAGACUUUCUUUUUUAAGAUAAAUAGAUGUUUUUUGGCAGUGGAGUAAUUUGUUUAGGUUUGUGCUUUUUCAGUGCUAAUUCUGACCACCAUAUGAAGGAGGAACUCUCAUUGGAAGCAAUUAAAGGGCCUCAACUAAGGUGGUGCCAAAUAGGAAUCAGGUCAACUCCAAGGAUGGUUAAAACUUAUAUUCAUGUUGGAGAAAUACUAAAAGUGCCAUCUGUUUUCUCUUGCUUCAGUUUUGUUCUUAAAUUUGGGGUAACAAAUAUGGUGAAAAAAAUUCAUUCACUUACCAAAUAUUUAUAGAGUACUUGCUGUGUGUCAGGCAAUAUUGUAGGUACUCGGGAUAUACGUCAUUGACUAAAACUGCCUUCCUGGAAAUUAUAUUCCAAGAGAGAGAUAUAGUCUGUAAAAAAAAAAAAAUAAGUAAAUGAUAUCCUAUUUUAUAAGGGAAUAAGUGUUAUGUAAAAAAGAAAGUAGAACAGAUGGAAGAAAUCCAGAGUACAGAGGGAAAAGAGGAUUUGUGGUAUUCUGUAGGGUGCUCAGGGUAGGCCUCAUUGAAAAGCAGAAAAUUUGAGAAAAUAUUUGAAGGUGAUGUGACAAUAGAUUUCUUAGGGAAGAGCAUUCCAGAAAGAGGGAACAACUAAAACAGAAGCAUUGAGAUAGGGAACAUGCAAAGCAUUACAAAAAGGAGGCCAGAACAAAGUGGCCAAGGGAUAAAAUAGUAAGUGAUAAAGUCGGAAGGGUAAAGAAAGGACUGCAGAAAAUUAGGGCAUUGUAAGGACUUUGAAUUUGACUCCAAGUGAAAUGGGUAGGCCUUGCAAGAUUUUGAGCCUAGGAGUGAAAGGAUACGAGUUCAUUUCUAAAAGGAACUCCUGUGUCAAAGGCAUAAAGCUUUAUUUUCUGAGUUAGAGGUUUUUAAACAGUAGAGUGACAUGUUUAGACUUGUGUAUUGGGAAUAGACUGGAGAUGAGCAAACAGUUGAUUUAGAUGAAGAAAAGGCUAGUCAUGCCCAUCAAGAAAAUAUUGUUAUUUUUCAAAAUGCAGCUCCUGAAAGCAUUGCAUGUCUUAUUACUCUAAACUGAGUACCUUAGACAAACUGGACAUAAUCUUUGGAAAAGAAAACUUCUGAUGUCAAAAUUCCAGUUAAGUUGUCUGACUCUGCUCUUCCAUUACACGACUCUGCUCUUCCAUUACACACUUAGAAAGUCAAAGAAACAUUAAGCUGGCAAGUAGUGAAAACAGAGAACUGUUUAUGGAAAACAUUGGUGCAUAACAGGACAUGCAUAGCAGGGCAAGAAUCAGAUUAUGUCUGUGCAAUGCCAAGAAGAGUUGCCAGGAGUACUUAUCAUCUUUGAAAUUAUCCACUUUGUUAUCCCCUUUGCUGUUUUUGCCUUUUUAUACCCAAUCUCUUAGAGGAUGGGGCAUUUGUGUUUUAAGUUUUUAUUUUAUGUUAAUUAUAGCCAACUGUAACCUAUUCAAAAUAAUAAUUUAGGAGCUCUUCUAAAGUUGAGAAUACUAAGACUUUUUAAAAAAAUUACUAAAACUUGGAAUAGCUUUUUCAAAUGCCAAGGCAGAUUUAUCUUGAACAUUGAUUUUGAUAUAAGGUUUAUGUGAUUUUUUGCUUAUACAUUAGUUUUGUUUAAAUAAUGUCAUGCCUUUUGUAUCUAGGAAACUUUUUCACAUAAAUUAAAUACAGAUUAAAUUUUAAAUAGCCCAUGACUUUUUCCAUUUGCUCUAAGUUCUCUCUGACUUUUCUACUCAUAGUAAUAUCUUGUGAUUUAAGCAUAGUAUAGAAAGGAAAUCAUAAGCAGAGACUCUGAUACAUGUACAAGUUAAGAGUAUGAAUAAGGCUUGCAAGAAGGCAGAAAGGUUUGGAAGAGGGAAACUCAGUAAAAGAUUCUAAAGAACAGAGGGUGAAUUACUAUCAUGCUGGGUGAGGGGCAGCUAAAAGGCGAAUUAUAUAGUAGUUAAUAGCAUAGGCUUUGACAUUAGGCAAACCUGGGUUUUAGUCCAUAGCCUUUUACAAAUUAGCUGUGAAAUUUUGUAUAUGUUAUGUAACUAUUCUGCUUCAUUUUCCACAUCACUAAAAUAGAUUAUAGUACCUCCCUCAUGUUGUGAAUACUACAUUACAUAAUACUUGUAAAAUGCCUCAUACUUAGUAAGCUUUCAUAACAUGUUCAAAAUGAAAAACAAAACCCAAAAGUCAAACUUUUCAAGCUCGUCCUUUCAGCAAAUUAUUUUGGAGCAACUGGAUAUCCAUGAGGAAAGAAGAACCCCUACCUCACACCAUUUACAAAGUUAGAUUACUUAUUAACAUAAAUAUUAAAGCUGAAACAAAGGGAAUAACAUAUUUGGCAUCUCGUGCUUCCUGAUUUCAAAACUUACUACAAAGCUAUAGUAAUUAAAACGUGUGGUACUGGCAUAAGGAUGAAUGUAUUGAACAGUGGAAUUGAAUUGAGAGUCCAGAUAUCCAUAGACAUCUACGGCCAAUUGAUUUUUGACAAAGAUGACCACUCCAUGGGGAAAAGAAUUAUCUCUUCAGCAAAUGGUACUGGGACAACUGGAUAUCCACAUGCAAAAGAAUAAAUUUGGACUCCUACCUUAUACUUUAUAUGUAAAUUAACUCAAAAUGGGUCAAAAAACUAAAUAUAAGAGAUGAAACUAUAAAAUUCAUUGAAGAAAACAUUGGGAUAAAUCUUCAUAACCUUGGAUUUGGCAAUGGAUUUUUAGAUAUGACACAAAGAAUAUGAGCAAACAAAAAAAUAGGUAAAUUAGAUUUCAUCAAACAACAACAACAAAAAUAGGUAAAUUAGAUUUCUAAUUUCUUUUUCUUUCUUUUUUCUUUUUUUUUUUUUUGAGACAGAGUCUCCCUCUGUCACCCAGGCUGGAAUGCACGAUCUCGGCUCACUGCAAGCUCCAUCUCCCAGGUUCAUGCCAUUCUCCUGCCUCAGCCUCUUGAGUAGCUGGGACUACAGGCGCCUGCCACCACACCCGGCUAAUUUUUUUUUUGUAUUUUUACUGGAGACAGGGUUUCACCGUGUUAGCCAGGAUGGUCUCGAUCUCCUGAUCUUGUGAUCUGCCACUUCGGCCUCCCGAAGUGCUGGGAUUACAGGCGUGAGCCACCGCGCCUGGCCUAGAUUACUAAUUUCUAACUAAAAACUUUUGGUCAUCAAAAUACGUAAUCCAAAGAGUGGAAACUAACUUACAGAAUGAGAGAAAAUAUUUGCAAAUCAUAGUUUGAUAAGGAUCUAGUGUCCAGAAUGUAUAAGUAACUCUUACAACUUACCAACAAAAGACUAACUGCUCUGUUUUUAAAUGGUCAAAAGACUUGAACAGACAUUUCUCCAAAAAAGAUACACAAAUGACCAAUUCACAUGAAAAGAUGCUCAAUAUGAGGGAAAUGCAAGUCAAAAACACAGUGAGAUACCACUUCACAUUCACUAGGAUAUCUAUAAUAUUACAAAAUAUUACAAAAGCAAAAAUGACAAGUGUUGAGUAUACUGGACUGAUUAUUUCCCCCUCAUGCUACCCCCAAUUCAUGUCCUUCUAGCAUCUCAGAAUGUGAUCUUAUUUGGAAAUAGGUUCUUUUUAGAUGUAAUUAGGUAAAGUGAGGUCAUACUAGAUUAAGGUGGGCCCUAAAUGCAGUGACUGGUAUCACUGGGUUAUAAGAAGUCCGUAUGAAACAGAGGCAGAGGUUAGAGUUAUGCAGUCAGAAGCCCAGGACCACUAGGAGCAACUAGAACCUGGAGGAAGCAAGGAAGGAUUCUUCCCUUGAUCCUUCAGGAGUAUGGCCCUGCCAACAUUUUGAUUUUGGGCUUGUAGACUCCAGAACUGUGAAAGAAUAAAUAUGUAUUGUUUUAA
rnacentral:lncRNA from 1 species